rnacentral:tRNA from 1 species
CGGGGUAUAGCGCAGUUUGGCUAGCGUGUCUGCUUUGGGAGCAGAAGGCCGGGGGUUCGAAUCCCUCUACCCCGA